rnacentral:rRNA from 1 species
GACGAACGCUGGCGGCGUGCCUAAUACAUGCAAGUCGAGCGAAGUUUUUCUGGUGCUUGCACUAGAAAAACUUAGCGGCGAACGGGUGAGUAACACGUAAAGAACCUGCCUCAUAGACUGGGACAACUAUUGGAAACGAUAGCUAAUACCGGAUAACAGUAUUUCUCGCAUGAGGGAUAUUUAAAAGUUGGUUAUGCUAACACUAUGAGAUGGCUUUGCGGUGCAUUAGCUAGUUGGUGGGGUAAAGGCCCACCAAGGCGACGAUGCAUAGCCGACCUGAGAGGGUGAUCGGCCACACUGGGACUGAGACACGGCCCAGACUCCUACGGGAGGCAGCAGUAGGGAAUCUUCCGCAAUGGGCGAAAGCCUGACGGAGCAACGCCGCGUGAGUGAAGAAGGCUUUCGGUUCGUAAAGCUCUGUUGUUAGGGAAGAAUGGAUAUGUAGUAACUAUACAUGUAAGAGACGGUACCUAACCAGAAAGCCACGGCUAACUACGUG